rnacentral:rRNA from 1 species
UACGUAGGGGGCAAGCGUUUGUCCGGAUUUAUUGGGCGUAAAGAGCGUGUAGGCGGUUCGGUAGGUCCGUUGUGAAAACUCGAGGCUCAACCUCGAGACGCCGAUGGAAACCAUCGAACUAGAGUCCGGAAGAGGAGAGUGGAAUUCCUGGUGUAGCGGUGAAAUGCGCAGAUAUCAGGAAGAACACCCGUGGCUAAGGCGGCUCCUCUAGUACGGUACUGACGCUGAGACGCGAAAGCGUGGGGAGCGAACAGG